rnacentral:rRNA from 1 species
CUUUGCUGACGAGCGGCGGACGGGUGAGUAAUGCUUGGGAACAUGCCUUGAGGUGGGGGACAACAGUUGGAAACGACUGCUAAUACCGCAUAAUGUCUACGGACCAAAGGGGGCUUCGGCUCUCGCCUUUAGAUUGGCCCAAGUGGGAUUAGCUAGUUGGUGAGGUAAUGGCUCACCAAGGCGACGAUCCCUAGCUGGUUUGAGAGGAUGAUCAGCCACACUGGGACUGAGACACGGCCCAGACUCCUACGGGAGGCAGCAGUGGGGAAUAUUGCACAAUGGGCGCAAGCCUGAUGCAGCCAUGCCGCGUGUGUGAAGAAGGCCUUCGGGUUGUAAAGCACUUUCAGUCAGGAGGAAAGGUUAGUAGUUAAUACCUGCUAGCUGUGACGUUACUGACAGAAGAAGCACCGGCUAACUCCGUGCCAGCAGCCGCGGUAAUACGGAGGGUGCGAGCGUUAAUCGGAAUUACUGGGCGUAAAGCGUACGCAGGCGGUUUGUUAAGCGAGAUGUGAAAGCCCCGGGCUCAACCUGGGAACUGCAUUUCGAACUGGCAAACUAGAGUGUGAUAGAGGGUGGUAGAAUUUCAGGUGUAGCGGUGA